GCCUGCGUGGCUCAGUCGGUUGAGUGUCCGACUUCAACUCAGGUCAUGAUCUCUUGUGGGUUCGAGCCCCACGUCGGGCU
rnacentral:tRNA from 1 species